GUCUUUUUGAAAUGAAUUUAAAGUCUGACCUGCCCACUGAAAAAUUUUAAAGGGCCGCGGUAUUUUGACCGUGCAAAGGUAGCAUAAUCAUUAGUUUUUUAAUUGAAAGCUUGUAUGAAUGGUUGGACGAAAUAUUUACUGUCUCAUAAAAAUUUAUAUUAGAAAUUAAUUUUUUUGUUAAAAAGCAAAAAUAAUAUUAGAGGACGAGAAGACCCUAUAGAGCUUUAUAAUUUUAUUAUUUAAUUUUUUAAGAAAAUUUUAAAUUUUAUAAGAACAAUUAUUUUGUUGGGGUGACAAUAAAAUUUAUAAAACUUUUAUUAUAAAUAUUACAUUGAUUAAUGAGUAUUUGAUCCAUUAUUAAUGAUUAAAAAAUUAAGUUACCUUAGGGAUAACAGCGUAAUUUUUUUUAAGAGUUCAUAUCGACAAAAAAGAUUGCGACCUCGAUGUUGGAUUAAGAGUUAUUUUUAGGUGUAGAAGUUUAAAGUUUAGGUCUGUUCGACCUUUGAAUUCUU
rnacentral:rRNA from 1 species